AGUGAACGCUGGCGGUAGGCCUAACACAUGCAAGUCGAACGGCAGCACAGUAAGAGCUUGCUCUUACGGGUGGCGAGUGGCGGACGGGUGAGGAAUACAUCGGAAUCUACUUUUUCGUGGGGGAUAACGUAGGGAAACUUACGCUAAUACCGCAUACGACCUACGGGUGAAAGCAGGGGAUCUUCGGACCUUGCGCGAUUGAAUGAGCCGAUGUCGGAUUAGCUAGUUGGCGGGGUAAAGGCCCACCAAGGCGACGAUCCGUAGCUGGUCUGAGAGGAUGAUCAGCCACACUGGAACUGAGACACGGUACAGACUCCUACGGGAGGAAGCAGUGGGGAAUAUUGGACAAUGGGCGCAAGCCUGAUCCAGCCAUACCGCGUGGGUGAAGAAGGACUUCGGGUUGUAAAGCCCUUUUGUUGGGAAAGAAAAGCAGCAGGUUAAUACCCCGCUGUUCUGACGGUACCCAAAGAAUAAGCACCGGCUAACUUCGUG
rnacentral:rRNA from 1 species